rnacentral:rRNA from 2 species
UGGGGAAUUUUGGACAAUGGGCGCAAGCCUGAUCCAGCCAUGCCGCGUGCGGGAAGAAGGCCUUCGGGUUGUAAACCGCUUUUGUCAGGGAAGAAAAGCUCCGACCUAAUACGACGGAGUCAUGACGGUACCUGAAGAAUAAGCACCGGCUAACUACGUGCCAGCAGCCGCGGUAAUACGUAGGGUGCAAGCGUUAAUCGGAAUUACUGGGCGUAAAGCGUGCGCAGGCGGCUUUGCAAGACAGAUGUGAAAUCCCCGGGCUUAACCUGGGAACUGCAUUUGUGACUGCAUGGCUGGAGUGCGGCAGAGGGGGAUGGAAUUCCGCGUGUAGCAGUGAAAUGCGUAGAUAUGCGGAGGAACACCGAUGGCGAAGGCAAUCCCCUGGGCCUGCACUGACGCUCAUGCACGAAAGCGUGGGGAGCAAACA